rnacentral:misc_RNA from 1 species
CGUCGUCGGCACUAAUUGUUGAUGUUUGGACGGUCUCCGAGAGGGAUGAACAGUAGCGACGGUGAUAGAGAACAGAAAAUAGUGAGUGGUGAGAGAACAUCAUGACGGGAGAGAAGACAAGCAUAAAAGCAGCACCGGAGGAGUUAGAUCGCCGAUUGCCGAUUACCGGUCGUGAUCUUAAGAGGAGUCCAGCAUUUGGAAUGAAAAACGAAUGGGGUUCACGUGUACUCAUAUUUUUUAUAUUUUUCUUUUAAAAAAAUAUAAAG